rnacentral:rRNA from 1 species
GACGAACGCUGGCGGCGUGCUUAACACAUGCAAGUCGAACGGAAAGGCCCUGCUUUUGUGGGGUGCUCGAGUGGCGAACGGGUGAGUAACACGUGAGUAACCUGUCCUUGACUUUGGGAUAACUUCAGGAAACUGGGGCUAAUACCGGAUAGGAGCUCCUGCUGCAUGGUGGGGGUUGGAAAGUUUCGGCGGUUGGGGAUGGACUCGCGGCUUAUCAGCUUGUUGGUGGGGUAGUUGCUUACCAAGGCUUUGACGGGUAGCCGGCCUGAGAGGGUGAACGGCCACAUGGGGACUGAGAUACGGCCCAGACUCCUACGGGAGGCAGCAGGGGGGAAUAUUGCACAAUGGGCGGAAGCCUGAUGCAGAAACGCCGCGUGCGGGAUGACGGCCUUCAGGUUGUAAACCGCUUUCGACUGUGACGAAGCGUGAGUGACGGUAAUGGGUAAAGAAGCACCGGCUAACUACGUG